CAGCCGCCGCGGGAACACGAAGGGUGCAAGCGUUACUCGGAAUUACUGGGCGUAAAGCGUGCGUAGGUGGUGGUUUAAGUCCGUUGUGAAAGCCCUGGGCUCAACCUGGGAAUUGCAGUGGAUACUGGGUCACUAGAGUGUGGUAGAGGAUAGUGGAAUUUCCGGUGUAGCAGUGAAAUGCGUAGAGAUCGGAAGGAACAUCUGUGGCGAAGGCGACUAUCUGGGCCAACACUGACACUGAGGCACGAAAGCGUGGGGAGCAAACAGGAUUAGAUACCCGCGUAGUCCCUGUCUCUUAUAC
rnacentral:rRNA from 1 species